UACAGAGGUCCCAAGCGUUGUUCGGAUUCACUGGGCGUAAAGGGUGCGUAGGUGGCGGGGUAAGUUUGAUGUGAAAUCUCCGGGCUCAACUCGGAAAUGGCAUUGAAUACUAUCUCGCUGGAGGGUCGGAAGGGAGACUGGAAUUCUCGGUGUAGCAGUGAAAUGCGUAGAUAUCGAGAGGAACACCAGUGGCGAAGGCGAGUCUCUGGACGACACCUGACACUGAGGCACGAAAGCUAGGGGAGCAAACAGG
rnacentral:rRNA from 1 species